ACCAGCGUCCUUGUACACAGUGUUUCUACUCAGUAAUUGAUGGGAGUUCUUGGCGGAGCAGGAGCCGGUGGACGGUUUCUGCCGCUGGCUGAGUAAUGGGUGCCUCUGCCUGCCAGCUGCCGGCUGCAGGGGCGACUGCGAGCGCCCACAGCAGCUCACGCGCAGGAUGAGACUUGCCUGCGCCCCGCCUCGGCCCGCCCCGGGCCUCUAAUUACACGUCUGGUGUUUGCAGGAGCCCAGGUGCCUGCGCUCGCCCAGGCUGGGAGCUUGAAGAUAGCAGGGCCCGGUGUCACCACCGGCACGGGGGCCGGCCUGGGGCAGGCCCCUCCGAGCUUCAGAUCCAAACCUGAAGGCCCACGUUCAGGAGAUAACACACGUGUUGACCCAACCGGAGCUUCCUGUGUGAGUUUCAAGCCCUGAUCUGUGCCCUUGCCUCUCGGUUUUGCUGUCGCCUCUGUGGCCCGGCCCACAUGGGGCCGCAGGGUGGCGGCUCUGUGUCCACACAGUGUGGCUGUGUCUCGCCAGCUGUCCCAUCACACGGGGAGUCCAGCGGCUAGCACUCGGGGGCAGAUGGCCUUGACACUUGUCAGGAGCCUGCAGACUGCCAGGCACGGCACCGGGCACACGAAUCACAUCGUACCAUGGUGUCAGGACCAGCCCUGGAACCAAGAGAGCCAGUGUCGCAGAAAGGCCCCUUGGACGGAGCACAGCAACACGGUCACUCCCACUAGGAUCAAAGCUGCCUCGGCCGUUCAGGCCUGCUGCUUUCUUCCCCUUCAGUUAAGCUUCUUUAGUGCAUUAUACGUUGAUUAGAGAAGCAGAGAGACAGAGAGAGACACAGAGAUCUUCCAUCUGUGGCUCGCUCCUCCAAUGCCUGCAAGGGCCGGCCCAGGCCAGACUGAAGCCAGCAAACGGGAACUCAGUCCGGGUCUUCCAUGUGGGUGGCUGGGCCCCGAGUCCUUGAGCCGUCACCCGCUGCCUCCCUGGGUCCACAGGAGCGGGGAGCUAGAGUCAGGAGCAGAGUGGUGACUGGAGCCCGGGCCCUCCCGCGAGGGACGCGGGCAUCUCCAGGCUGCAGCUUCCUGCCGCGGCUGCUCUGUGGACAGAUACCACAUCUGUUGAUCCUGUCGGGAACUCCAGCUGUGUGGGAGGCUUCGGAGGCCCGCAGCCAGAAAUCUGUUUUUGUUUUUGUUUUUGAAGCCACAUUUUUCUCCCCUUCCAAGACUUGUUGAUGCUGAAUCAGUGCAAUUGUUCCUUUUUGCAAGAAUCUGCGACUUGAGCAAGGGUGGACUGCCCGUGGCGUCUGGCCCCCGGGACGCCGCUCAGAAACACACAGAAACCGAUUCGCUCAACUGAACCUUCGCCUCCAGUUUCCUCCCCUAAAACCUGCAGCCGGCAUCCGUGGACAACUCCUACUUACAGGAAUUUUUUUUUUCUUAAGUUGCUUGCUGAAAGCCCAUGUGAGCCAGUAGCCACACUCGACUGGUUUUGUGGACUUCGGGUUUUCCCUGAACAGCUGUGGCACGGGCAAGGAGAGGUGCCCCCGUCCUCUGAGGACACAUUAUAAUCCUGUCCUUGCUUGGUCCCCACCCAAGUGCCCAAUUCCAGCCAUACAAACUCCAUGAUUCUUUCUGAAUCAUACAUAAAGGCCACACCCUCCGUCGCACAUAAAACGCUGCUGUGUCGUGUACACACCAGCUGCGCUGAUCAGGCUGUGGCGGACGUAGAAGACAUCUACGUAAACGUGCUGGCGGUGUUCAUCGCCUCACUUCUCCAUGAUGGGCUCCAGGAGCUGAGGCCGGGAACUGCCAGCCGCUCCCUGAGGUGCCUCCAGCAGCUCUCGAAAUCCGACUGCGCAGCGUUGCACCUUGCACAGCUUGAAAAUCAUAAUCCAAAAGCCGAUUCCCUCCACUGCAGUGAAUUCAUGGGAGAGGUCACCUCGGGGAUCAGGCAGAAGGAAACCCAGCCAGUGCAGUCCUGGCGAACAACCUUGACCUUCAAUGCCCAGGCGCAUUUUCACCAGAUCUUCACACACUGUUUCACAUUAAAGAUUUUUCAGCAACAAUUUAAAAGCUGAGACAGGUGUUUGGCCUAGCAGUGAAGCUGCUGAGCGGGACGCCCAUGUCCCCCAUCCAAGUCCCUAAAUUCCAUCCCUGGUGUGGGUCCCAACUCCAGCUUCCUGCUAAUGCAGACUCCGGGAGGCAGCGGUGAUGGCUCAAGUCGUUGGGUCCCUGCCAAGAACAUGGGACACCUGGGCUGAGUUCCUGGCUCCAGGCUCCUGCUGGCCCAGUCCCAGCCAUGAUGAGCAAUUGGAGAGUGAUCCAGCAGACGGGAGUUCCCCUCUCUCUCCCAAGAAGAAGUCAAAAGUCUGACCAUAAUCAGUAUUGUUGACUGGGAUGGGGAGCAAACUGAAGCUCAACUUGGUUCUAUCAAUCAAACAUCAAGUGUGCCUGCUCUUUGAUCCAAAGAACUCUCUAAAAAUAUUUACACUUGCAAAAAAAAAGUACAUUCAAAUUUGUCCCCUAAUAGAUUGUCCUGAAUAGUGCGGCCUGUACAAACAACAAUACUCUGUCAAUAUCAGCAACAACAAAACCCUGAUUCAAAAAUGGGCAAAGGACUGGGCUGAGCGUUUGUCCAGUGCGGGCACACACACAGCUGACAGCCGCAGGGAACGAAGCUCACCACCAGCAGCCAUCAGAGAAACACACACCAAAAACCACAAUGACAAUGGCCACAGAGUCCUGUGACCCCACUUCCGGGUGUGUGCGUGGAAGAACUGCCAGGGCGGGUCUCGGACAGGUCUGCGUGUCCGUGUUCACUGCGGCAUCAUUCAAAACAGAAGGUGCAAAGCAAGUGUCUACGGACAAACACAAAGGCAAAAUGGGGUUUCAGGGGUCUUCAAAAAGUUGAUGGAAAAUGCAGAUCAUGAAAAGAGUAUGCAUGGAUUUCAAACGUUUUCUUUGCACCAAAAUAAAUCAUCUUUAAUUCCAUUUUUCCAAAAACUUUUUGAAGCCCCCCAUUUCCCUGUGCAAUUGAAUAUUAUUCAGCUUUGAAUGGAAGGAAAUCCCGAUACAUGCUACAACACGGAUGGCCUAAAGACAAUCAGCCAGUCAUAAGAAGUCGAACGCCGCAGAAUUCCACCUGACAAGGUGCAAGGGCAGCCGAAGUGGAGCAGAGGCCCUCGUCCGAUGCCCGGAUGUUGGCUUUAGAAGCCCCAGGCCUUUCCUUGGCUUGCAGCUCCUCUGAGCGAGGGGAGUGACAAAGCGCUCGUCAAAACGUGCAAUCCUGCCUUGAUCAUUACAAAUUUACAUCUCUUGGAGCCAGCGCUGCGGCACAGCGAGUAAAGCCGCCACCUGCAGUGCGGCAUCCCACAUGGGCGCCAGUUCAAUACCCGGCUGCUCCUCUUCUGCUCCAGCUCUCUGCUGUGGCCUGGGAUAGCAGUGUGAGAUGGCCCAAAUCCUUGGGCCCCUGCACCUGCGUGGGAGACCCGGAAGAAGCUCCUGAUCAGCCCGGCUCCAGCUGCUGUGGCCACUUGGGGAGUGAGCCAGUGGAUGGAAGACCUCUCUGCCUCUCUUUAACU